UCAUGGUUAAUUUAAUGAAAUGCCAUUCUCCUUCUUUUGCCCUUUCCUGUUCCUGUUCUCCCCCUUAAAAAAAAAAAAAAAAAAAAAUCAGCUUUAUAGUCUCAGUCGUCUCAGGAAAAAAAAAAUAUAUGUAUAUAAUAACACUUCUGGUGCAUGGAUUUUAAAGUAAAUAAGACACUGUUAUGACACAUGGUUUUUGCACCUGUGAGGAACUGUCUGACUCAGCACUGGUAGUGUGGACAUGUGGUGAUACUUUAUUAAAAAAAAAAAAAAGAAUAUAAUUUUCUCAGUGAGUAUAUGUUUACUAUAUUUAGCUGUGCUUUGUGCAGGGCCUGAGAAAGGACUAGACAGUGCAAGUUUAUCUGCAUCCAAUUCAGUGGGAAUGCCACAUGUAAAGAGGUUGCAAAGUCAGAACUUCUGCAAGAAAGCAGCAAGCCUCUGUUAAUAAGGGUGGAAGUUUUGAAUACAGAGGGACUGGGGCCAAUUAAUGAAAGAACAAGUUGUGGAGAGCCAUGGGAACUGUACCAUGGAGAAAGUGCUGGACUGGAUUCUAAUAAUAAAGGGAGAAGUCCUGAUCUUACUAAGAGGACAAGAACUUGGAGAUUUACAAGAAAAUUUUGGAGUCCAGAGGAUGCUCAACUACAAAUGAUGGGGUUUUGUAGUAUGCCUGUAGGAUUAUGCCAUGUGAUGCAGACAACGAAAGGAGAAUGUUCCACCACAAAACAGACUGCUAAUGUGAGUGAAAAGCAUCAGGAUUUGGAAGCAGCAAGCAUCAGGAUGGGAAGACCUCAGGAAUUCAUACAUAAAAAUCAGAGAAGAACCAUCUUUGAAAAUAUCCAUCAUGAUUUUCAUAAGAAGUGCCACAAAAAGGUAUCUAUUUUCCUGCAAAAGUUGUUGAUUUUCCCUGUGUAUCUGCAUCUCAGCCACUGC
rnacentral:lncRNA from 1 species